rnacentral:rRNA from 1 species
GUCUAUGGCAAUGCUACCCUGAACAAGCCCAAUCCCGUCUGAUCUCAGAAGCUAAGGAGGGUCGGGCCUGAGAUAGGAGACCACCUAGAAAGACUAGGUGCUGUAGGCA